rnacentral:rRNA from 1 species
UGAGGAAUAUUGGUCAAUGGACGUAAGUCUGAACCAGCCAAGUAGCGUGCAGGAUGACGGCCCUAUGGGUUGUAAACUGCUUUUGUAUGGGGAUAAAGUUAGGGACGUGUCCCUAUUUGCAGGUACCAUACGAAUAAGGACCGGCUAAUUCCGUGCCAGCAGCCGCGGUAAUACGGAAGGUUCGGGCGUUAUCCGGAUUUAUUGGGUUUAAAGGGAGCGUAGGCCGGAGAUUAAGUGUGUUGUGAAAUGUAGACGCUCAACGUCUGACUUGCAGCGCAUACUGGUUUUCUUGAGUACGCACAACGUUGGCGGAAUUCGUCGUGUAGCGGUGAAAUGCUUAGAUAUGACGAAGAACUCCGAUUGCGAAGGCAGCUGACGGGAGCGCAACUGACGCUGAAGCUCGAAGGUGCGGGUAUCGAACAGGAUUAGAUACCCUGGUAGUCCGCACAGUAAACGAUGGAUGCCCGCUGUUGGUACCUGGUAUCAGCGGCUAAGCGAAAGCAUUAAGCAUCCCACCUGGGGAGUACGCCGGCAACGGUG